GGGUCUGUAUGGUAUCAGCUUGUUGGUGAGGUAAUGGCUCACCAAGGCUAUGACGCCUAACUGGUUUGAGAGGAUGAUCAGUCACACUGGAACUGAGACACGGUCCAGACUCCUACGGGAGGCAGCAGUGGGGAAUAUUGCACAAUGGACNAAAGUCUGAUGCAGCAACGCCGCGUGGAGGAUGACACAUUUCGGUGCGUAAACUCCUUUUAUAUAGGAAGAUAAUGACGGUACUAUAUGAAUAAGCACCGGCUAACUCCGUGC
rnacentral:rRNA from 1 species